UUGCAAGCAGCCGCGGUAAGACAGAGGGGGCAAGCGUUGUCCGGACUGACUGGGCGUAAAGCGCGCGCAGGCGGACGCGGGCGUCGGUGCGGAAAGGUCGCCGCUUAACGGCGGAGAGCGUACCGAUACGCCGCGUCUGGAGCGCGGGCGAGGGUGGUGGAAUUGCCGGUGUAGUGGUGAAAUGCGUAGAGAUCGGCAGGAACACCCGUGGCGCAAGCGGCCACCUAGCCCGUUGCUGACGCUGAGGCGCGACAGCGUGGGGAGCGAACUGGAUUAGAUACCCUUGUAGUCC
rnacentral:rRNA from 1 species